rnacentral:lncRNA from 10 species
CGGGAGGAGGGCGUGUUUCAGCCCUGUUUGUGUUACUGCUCUUUCAGUCCCGCCAUUCAGUGGGUCCUGAGUUCUCGUCCCACAUCCAGGAAGAAUGAGGUACGCGGACAACUAGAGGGUGAGCAAGGCGGAGAGGAGCCUUAUCGAGUGACAGAACAGCUCUCGGGAAACUUGAAGGAUGCAAAGCAGAGGAGAAAGGCUUACGAAGAGGAAGAGGUUGAGGAGACUGGAACUGUCAAGAGCACUCCCUGUGGUGGCAAAUUCUCAGAAGUCAGAAACUCUCCCUGUUUGAUCUUUGUAGUGUCAGGACCCAGCAUAAUACCUGACAUAUAGUAGAUGCUCAAUAAAUGAAUUAAAUGGAAUUGAAUUAGUAUAUUGGCUUUACUUAUUAUUUUGUUUGUUUUAGUCCCC